rnacentral:rRNA from 1 species
CCGAUAACCGACAAGGAGUCGUCGUAGGGUUAGUACCAGUAACUAGGGGCU